ensembl:lncRNA novel transcript
CACCACACCUGGCUAAUUUUUGUAUUUCUAUUAGAGAUAGGGUUUCCCAAUGUUGGUGAGGCUGAUCUCAAACUCUUGACCUCAGGUGAUGCACCUGCCUCAGCCUCCCAAAGUGCUGGGAUUACAGGUGUGAGUGACUGCGCCUGGCCUGUAAAAUAUAUCUUGACCUAGAUCACAGAUGCAAUGAUUACUCUCAUACCUCACAGUAUUUAAUAGGAGAGAUGCUCUCUCUUGCUCUCGCUCUCUUUUUUCUUUUUUUUUUUUUUUGAGACAGUUUUGUUCUUGUUACCCAGGCUGCAGUGCAAUGGCGUGAUCUCUGCCCACCACAACCUCUGCCUCCCAGGUUCAAGCGAUUCUCCUGCCUCAGCCUCCCACGUAGCUGAGAUUACAGGCAUGUGCCACCACGCCCAGCUAAUUUUGUAUUUUUAGUAGAGAUGGGGUUUCUCUAUGUUGGUUAGGCUGGUCUCGAACUCCCAACCUCAGGUGAUCUGCCCACCUCGGCCUUCCAAAGUGCUGGGGUUACAGGCAUGAACCACUGUGCCCAGCCCAAGAUGCUGUCUCUUAACAGCUAGGCCUAGAGUCAUGAAUAUGAUUCUGGGUCUCCUUGUACAAAGGUCAUGAAGAAUUGCCACUUUCUUGCAUACUGUAUAAAUCUCUUGUGGUACAGAGAGUGUCAUUACAGGGUUCAGCAUACAGAUGAGAUUGUUUCUCAUAUACACUCCCCACCAACUGUUAGAAUUGUCACCCUCACACAUGGACAGAGCCCACUGGUGAGGCCCUGAAUCUCACACACACACACAGUCUACAGUUAAAAUUGUGACUGUCAUAUGUGAACAUCUGGCUAGAGUUGAAAUAAUGACUUAUUUCUAAAUCCAGUUCAUAGGUGAGAAUUCUACCUGUCUAAGCCUAGGUAGGAUAGUCAACAUGUCCCUAAUUGGCUGGGGGACAUGUUGACUCUCCUACCUGGGCUUAGGGCCAAACAGUUCAUGGAAGGGAUGAAGGCUCUCAGCUCUCAUGCACAGAUCCAGUUGGUGAGAUUGUCACUAGCAUACUUAGACCCAACAUACUCUGAUACCUAGAACUGGGACAUGUGCAGGAUUUUUAAUUACUGGACCUUCCUGCAGGUGUGAUUGUGACAUAUGUCUUUGUUACACACCUGAGUGGUUUGAUGUUCCUGCCUUGGUUCAACCCAAAGUGAAGAUUGUGAUGUGUCACUGGACCCAGCAUCUCAGUGAUGUGACUCUUCUUUUUGGACACCACAAAUUUUGGGUAUUGUCAAAUAUUGCUGGAUCCUGUACCCAUGUUAUGUGACUCUCCAACCUAUGUCCUGCAUGUUGUGCCAUAUUGCAGCACAAUGUGUCACAUUAGACAUCAUUACAUAUUGCUGGGCUCAACACCCAAGUGAUGUAACAUUUUCCUGGGCCUUGACUACAGGGGGCUUUGUGACAUAACUGAAUGCCCAUAACCAUGGUAAUGUUACUCUUCUCCUGCCUGGUCUCUGCUCACAGGGAAAUUGUGACAUACCAUUGGCCUAGCAUCUUGGUGAUGUGACUCUCCUCUUUUUCUCAGGCCCCACAUAUUUGGGUAUUGUGACAUACCCAAAUGUGACACUGGGCUCAACACCUAAGGGACGGGAGUUCUCUACCUGGCCCCUUCCUGAAGGGGGCAUUGUGACAUACUUCUGCACAGGUAUGUCACAGUUAUUACCUAGGAGAUGUGACUCUCCUCUUUUGCCAGCACCCUGCUUACAGGGAAAAUUGUGGCACAUUUCUGUGGCCAGCAACCAGGUGAUGUGUUUCUCCUGCUUGGGUCUUUAUUACAGAAAAGAUGGUUGACAUAUCACUAGGCCCAGCAUCUAGGCGAUGUGACUGUCUUCUUCUGCCUGGUCCCUGCUUACAGGAACAUUGUAGCAUAUUGCUAUGCCCAGCACUUUUCUCUUCUUUUAGGUUUUGCCUGCAGGAGACUUUGUGACAUUGCUGGGCCCUGCACUGACAUUAUCUGACUCUUCUGUCUCUGCCUACUUGGGCCAUUGUGACAUAUUGCUGGGUCCAACAUCCAGGUGAUGUAACUUUUAUGCCUGGGUCCUGGCACCAGAGGACAUUGUCUUUGCACCACUCACACAGGUGAUGUGAUUUUCUUCUGUUACCUGGUCUCUGCUCACAGGAAGAAUUGUGACCUUGGCCAGGCUCGGUGGCUCACACCUGUAAUCAUAGCACUUUGGGAGGCCGAGGCGAGUGGAUACCUGAGGUCAGGAGUUCGAGACCAGCCUGGCCAACAUGGUGAAACCCCCAUCUUACUUAAAACACAAAAAUUAGCUGGGCGUGGUGGCAGGCGCCUGUAGUUCCAGCCACCCACGAGGCUGAGGCAGGAGAAUCGCUUGAACCAGGUAGGCGGAGAUUGCAGUGAGCCGAGAUUGCGCCACUGCACUCCAGCCUGGGUGACAGGGAGACUCCAUCUCAAAGAAAAAAAAAGUGACCUUUUGCAGCACAUAGCUGAUUUGACUGCUUUGUGGAGUACACCAAGCAGGUUGUCAAACUGGUGGUCCCUUUACUGAAAUUUUAUUUCCACAAUGGUGUUGGAGGGGCAGCAGCAGAAUCCGUGCCUUUUCUUCUGGAGUGUGUGAGAGUCCGUGGUCCUGAGUAUCUCACACAGAUGUGGCAAUUUAUGUGAUGUUCUGAUUAAGACCAUUGGUACAGAAACAGAUUCAGAUGUCCUCAGAAAUAAUGCAUUGUUUAGCAAAGUGCAUUGAAGUUAUGGGAGAUGGAUGCCUUAAUAAUGAACACUUUGAAGAACACCUUUGCCACAUGUCCUCAGGACCUUCUGAGGGCUGUGUCAUGGGGCAUGGUCACUCAUAUUUGACUCAAUAAAUUUCUUCAAAUAUUUUAAA